GAUCCUGGCUCAGGAUGAACGCUGGCGGCGUGCUUAACACAUGCAAGUCGAACGAGGUCAAUGGAGCUUGCUUUAUUGACCGAGUGGCGGACGGGUGAGUAACGCGUGGGUAACCUGCCGUAUGCAGGGGGACAACAGUUAGAAAUGACUGCUAAUACCGCAUAAGCGCACAGUAUCGCAUGAUACGGUGUGAAAAGAUUUAUCGGCAUACGAUGGACCCGCGUCUGAUUAGCUGGUUGGUGAGGUAACGGCCCACCAAGGCGACGAUCAGUAGCCGACCUGAGAGGGUGACCGGCCACAUUGGGACUGAGACACGGCCCAAACUCCUACGGGAGGCAGCAGUGGGGAAUAUUGCACAAUGGGCGCAAGCCUGAUGCAGCGACGCCGCGUGAGUGAAGAAGUAUUUCGGUAUGUAAAGCUCUAUCAGCAGGGAAGAAAAUGACGGUACCUGACUAAGAAGCCCCGGCUAACUACGUGCC
rnacentral:rRNA from 1 species